rnacentral:piRNA from 1 species
UGAACUGCAUGGUAAGAAUGGUCCUGA